GCCCCGCCCCGGCAGCGGGCAGGGGGCCGGGGCGAGACCCCUCCGCAGUGUGACAGGGGGAGCAAGGCCCGGCUUCUCCCCAGCGCCGCAGCCAAGGGCAUCCCGCCCCGGGUGCCCUUCUCCGAGCGGACGGCCCUGGCUGCAGGCGACUCCGCAGGGCUGGCAGGCGGGCUGAGGAAGAGCGCAGCCAGUCCGCUCCUUAGAACUGCUGCUUUGGUGACCCGCGGAGAAGGGCGGUGGAUGCUGUGUCUAGAGGAGACAACCUGUGUGAAGAGCAUCGCAGGAGUCCGGACACAGAUGAGGAGGCUGGAGUGCUCCCUUUGCAGGGCUUGAGUCUGAAGACGCGUGCCUUUAACCCAGCAGAAUGCUGAUGCGACAUCCGUGGGCCAACCCCCGCCGGGCUCUGGGUUGCAGCCGCAGAACAGGAUUCUGACUGACACAAGCAAAAGGGGAUUUUAUGGAAGAUUCGGCCAUGGAGGGUGGGAAACGGCAGGGAACACGGAUCACAGAACCCACGGGAACGAUCCCUGGAAAUGGAUCCACAGGUGCUUCAAAGACCCAAGAAGCAGGAAGACGUGUAAGUGUCUUAUAACCAGCACAGCGUGGUCAGACGUGGCCCCCUUGGGUCCCCAGCUGUCCCUGCUGCGAUGGCCCAGCAGCACCCCUGUCCUUCCUCACGACUCCGGCUCGGAGCAGAUCGGCUGGACUUGGCUCGUCCUGUCCUCUGCGUCUACCAAGCGUGGAAGGGAAAGAAAGACCUCCAAGCUAAGAAGAAAGCGUGACUACUCGCUUUGUUGGGAUGUGGUAAUUUUCAGUGAAAAUCACAGCAUUUCAUCUUAGUAUUUGCACCCUUCAUUCCUUCAGCUCCAGAGAAGCCCCUGCCUCUAAGUUUCUGGCAUUUUCCAGAACAGCCGAGCACCUAGGCAACCUGGCGUGGGAAUCUAAGAAACAGCCUGUGGACUCCGGUUCAGGACCUUCUCUUGGUUUACUUUAGUCGGCUCUUCACUGGUAACGAAAGGCCACGGCCACGGCUGCUGCCACUGCUGAAGAUGAAGCCGGAGCCCUGAGGCUAGAGGUCGGCUUUUCCCGAGUCCCGUAAAAGCCAUCGUUAUGGGACUAGCUGGACUACCACUUAUGCACCUUUGUAUCCCUGGUGCCUGACACACGGUAGGUACUUGGUAAACAGAGGAUGAAAUUGCUUUUUCCCGUCUCCGGCGACUCUUCUAGGUUGUUACCAGAAAUCUCUCUCCGAAACACAGAUACGAUUAUGGUCCUCUGCUCUUAAGAACUGUUGCCGCUGCCCCACUGACUGUAGCUGGGUGUCUCAACCCCAGUACAUGUGGCCCAGAUAAUUCUUUAACGUAGGGGACUGUCCUGGGCAUUGCGGGAUGUUCAGCAGCGCCCUUGGCCUCCACCUACAGAUGUCAGUGGCACCCCCUGCUCUGACCUUGGUUUAACAACCAAAAAUGUCUCCAGACCCUGACAAACGUUCCCUGGGAGGCAGGGGUGGUGUGCAAAAUCGCCCUUGGGUGAGACCCACUGGCCUGUGCUUUGUGAUCUCCCGCCUUGCCGGCCUGCCGACCGCCUCACCUGAACACCCUUGAACAUGCCCCGCCCCUCAGCACCUGUGCGACCGUCACGUGCUGUGUCUUCAGCACUUCGGCAGCGAGGAGGCCCGACUGCCACCACGCACAGACAACGCACGUUGGCCUAGACUAACAGAAGUUUAUUUUGGCUCACGUAACGCACCGUGGGGUCGAACACGCUGCUGAGGCAGCCUUCCGCAUGUCAGACCUUCAGAUUCUAGCGUGGCUGAGGCUCUGCCAUCCUUGAUAGACGGUUUCCCAGACGGCCCCGGGGAUCAUCGCCAAUCUACUUGACGAAAGGAGAAAAGAGCCUCUGGGCAGGACGCGAAGGAGAUGUUCACGGCCAGGAUGGAAAAUGAUGCCGGUCCCUCCCACUCCCAUCCUAUUGGCUGGGACUCAGUCACAGGGCCACCCGGAAUUUGCAAGGGGGACUGGGAAAUGUAGUCUAGCCGUGUGCUUGGAAGAAGGGGUCCUGGACUUUCCCAUCAGCCAGCACUCUGCGGCAAUCAGCUCCUCCGCUCGGCCAAAGUGUGGUUUUACCUGAAGGUCUAGCUCAGCCGUCACUCCUAGAAUUAUGAAUUCUGGUCUCCCCUUUAUGACCUCUUUUAUACACUGUGCUUAUACAUUAUAGUACGAUUGGUAUGGCAUAAAAAUCAUUUUUUCUCAUUAAUAUCUAGGA